rnacentral:rRNA from 1 species
UACGAAGGGGGCGAGCGUUGUUCGGAAUUACUGGGCGUAAAGGGCGCGUAGGCGGCCCCUUUUGUCGCGUGUGAAAGUCCCGGGCUCAACCUGGGAGGUGCGCGCGAAACGGGGGGGCUUGAGUUCGGGAGAGGAGCGUGGAAUUCCCAGUGUAGAGGUGAAAUUCGUAGAUAUUGGGAAGAACACCGGUGGCGAAGGCGGCGCUCUGGACCGAGACUGACGCUGAGGCGCGAAAGCGUGGGGAGCAAACAGG